UACGAAGGGGGCUAGCGUUGUUCGGAAUUACUGGGCGUAAAGCGCACGUAGGCGGAAUGUUAAGUCAGGGGUGAAAUCCCGGGGCUCAACCCCGGAACUGCCUUUGAUACUGGCAUUCUCGAGUCCGGAAGAGGUGAGUGGAAUUCCGAGUGUAGAGGUGAAAUUCGUAGAUAUUGGGAAGAACACCGGUGGCGAAGGCGGCGACCUGGUCCGAUACUGACGCUGAGGCGCGAAAGCGUGGGGAGCAAACAGG
rnacentral:rRNA from 1 species